rnacentral:rRNA from 1 species
UACGAAGGGGGCUAGCGUUGCUCGGAAUCACUGGGCGUAAAGGGCGCGUAGGCGGCCGAUCAAGUCAGAGGUGAAAGCCCAAGGCUCAACCUUGGAACUGCCUUUGAUACUGUUUGGCUAGAGACCGGAAGAGGUAAGUGGAACUGCGAGUGUAGAGGUGAAAUUCGUAGAUAUUCGCAAGAACACCAGUGGCGAAGGCGGCUUCCUGGACACUUACUGACGCUGAGACGCGAAAGCGUGGGGAGCAAACAGG